rnacentral:rRNA from 1 species
CCCAAGACUGGUUUCUCACUGAAGCUAAGCAGGGCUGAGCCUGGUCAGUACCUGGAUGGGAGACCACUAGGGAACACUAGGUUGCUGUUGGAA